rnacentral:rRNA from 1 species
ACGAACGCUGGCGGCGUGCCUAAUACAUGCAAGUCGAACGGUCUUUCUAUGGAAGCUUGCUUCCACUGAGAAGAUAGUGGCGAACGGGUGAGUAACACGUGGGUAACCUGCCCAUAAGAGGGGGAUAACAUCCGGAAACGGGUGCUAAUACCGCAUAGUUUUCUUGAUCGCAUGAUUGAGAAAGGAAAGAUGGCCUUUGUGCUGUCGCUUAUGGAUGGACCCGCGGCGUAUUAGUUAGUUGGUGAGGUAACGGCUCACCAAGACGAUGAUACGUAGCCGACCUGAGAGGGUGAUCGGCCACAUUGGGACUGAGACACGGCCCAAACUCCUACGGGAGGCAGCAGUAGGGAAUCUUCCGCAAUGGACGAAAGUCUGACGGAGCAACGCCGCGUGAGUGAAGAAAGGUUUUCGGAUCGUAAAACUCUGUUGUCAGAGAAGAACAAGUUGGAGAGUAACUGCUCCAGCCUUGACGGUAUCUGACCAGAAAGCCACGGCUAACUACGUGCCAGCAGCCGC